ACACACACACACACACACACACACACACACACACACACACACACACACACACCAGCUGUUGUGGCUUCGCUGUCAAUGCUGAGAACCAAAAUAAAGAGAGGCCCACAGAGUGCAUGCAAAUACUCACCUAAGAAACACAACUGAGCCCAGGUUUCUCUUUCCCAGCAUCCGUGCCCCAGAAAAUGUGAAUGUGCACACUGAGCAAAUACGGUCAUUUGCUUUUACAGAUUCAUUAAUAUUUGCAGACAUGCUUCCACUAACGCUCAAACACUUCUCCCUCCCCCACUUAUUUUCUUUCCAUCAACAAGAUUUCAAAGCCCAUUUUGUUUCCUCUGCCACUGUUCCUCCCUUCCUCCCCCCCUCCCUCCUUCCCCUCCUUCCCCUCCUUCCCCUUCCCUCACUCCAACCAAGUCCCACAGCUGGAGGUGAAAUCAUUAGCAAUACCCCCUCCCUGUUUUCGGCCUCCCCUCCCUCCCUUCCCUCUCUCCCCUCCGAGCUUUCUGCAACACCUUCCUCAGCAUCCUGCCUCCCCUCUUCCCCUUCUUCGCCGGUUUUUGCUUCAGCUUCUU